GACAGAGGGUGCAAACGUUGUUCGGAAUUACUGGGCGUAAAGCGCGUGUAGGCGGCUCGGAAAGUCGGAUGUGAAAGCCCUGGGCUUAACCUAGGAAGUGCAUUCGAAACUCCCGAGCUUGAGUUCUGGAGAGGAAGGCGGAAUUCUCGGUGUAGAGGUGAAAUUCGUAGAUAUCGAGAGGAACGACCGGUGGCGAAGGCGGGUCUCUGGGCAGUAACUGGACGCUGAGGAGCGAAAGCGUGGGGAGCGAACAGG
rnacentral:rRNA from 1 species